CCUACGGGAGGCAGCAGUGGGGAAUUUUGGACAAUGGGCGAAAGCCUGAUCCAGCAAUGCCGCGUGAGUGAAGAAGGCCUUCGGGUUGUAAAGCUCUUUUGUCAGGGAAGAAACGGUGAGGGCUAAUAUCCUUUGCUAAUGACGGUACCUGAAGAAUAAGCACCGGCUAACUACGUGCCAGCAGCCGCGGUAAUACGUAGGGUGCAAGCGUUAAUCGGAAUUACUGGGCGUAAAGCGUGCGCAGGCGGUUUUGUAAGUCUGAUGUGAAAUCCCCGGGCUCAACCUGGGAAUUGCAUUGGAGACUGCAAGGCUAGAAUCUGGCAGAGGGGGGUAGAAUUCCACGUGUAGCAGUGAAAUGCGUAGAUAUGUGGAGGAACACCGAUGGCGAAGGCAGCCCCCUGGGUCAAGAUUGACGCUCAUGCACGAAAGCGUGGGGAGCAAACAGGAUUAGAUACCCUGGUAGUCCACGCCCUAAACGAUGUCUACUAGUUGUCGGGUCUUAAUUGACUUGGUAACGCAGCUAACGCGUGAAGUAGACCGCCUGGGGAAGUACGGUCGCAAGAUUAAAACUUCAAAGGAAUUGACGG
rnacentral:rRNA from 1 species